rnacentral:lncRNA from 1 species
GUUACACAGAGGAGGAUUGAUUACCGGCUUUCAAUGACUCCCAGCAUCACUGGGGGUGGGGGGUGGGUGCUGAAGAAAUUGAAGACACUCCAGGCUGCCUCCCAAAGCCACACAGCAGAAAGGGGCCACCAAGAAGCUGAGAUUCUGUCGUCACCGGAGAGCCGCCUGCCUGCAGGCCAGCCCUGCAUGUGACUGUUGCUGCUGCGUGCACACCCGCUCAGUGCUGCCUUUCAUCCCACUUCCCCUCCCCAGACAGGAAGGCGCCCCAGAGAGAGGCU